GACGAACGCUGGCGGCGUGCUUAACACAUGCAAGUCGAACGGAAAGGCCCUGCUUUUGUGGGGUGCUCGAGUGGCGAACGGGUGAGUAACACGUGAGUAACCUGCCCUUGACUUUGGGAUAACUUCAGGAAACUGGGGCUAAUACCGGAUAGGAGCUCCUGCUGCAUGGUGGGGGUUGGAAAGUUUCGGCGGUUGGGGAUGGACUCGCGGCUUAUCAGCUUGUUGGUGGGGUAGUGGCUUACCAAGGCUUUGACGGGUAGCCGGCCUGAGAGGGUGACCGGCCACAUUGGGACUGAGAUACGGCCCAGACUCCUACGGGAGGCAGCAGUGGGGAAUAUUGCACAAUGGGCGGAAGCCUGAUGCAGCAACGCCGCGUGCGGGAUGACGGCCUUCGGGUUGUAAACCG
rnacentral:rRNA from 1 species